CCUACGGGUGGCAGCAGUGGGGAAUAUUGCACAAUGGGGGAAACCCUGAUGCAGCAACGCCGCGUGAGUGAGGAAGUAUUUCGGUAUGUAAAGCUCUAUCAGCAGGGAAUAGAAAAGAAGGUACCUGAAAAAGAAGCCCCGGCUAACUACGUGCCAGCAGCCGCGGUAAUACGUAGGGGGCAAGCGUUAUCCGGAUUUAUUGGGUUUAAAGGGUGCGUAGGCGGGAAGCCAAGUCAGCUGUGAAAACUACGGGCUUAACUUGUAGACUGCAGUUGAAACUGGUUUUCUUGAGUGAAGUAGAGGUUGGCGGAAUUCCGAGUGUAGCGGUGAAAUGCGUAGAUAUUCGGAGGAACACCGGUGGCGAAGGCGGCCAACUGGGCUUUAACUGACGCUGAGGCUCGAAAGUGUGGGGAGCAAACAGGAUUAGAUACCCCUGUAGUC
rnacentral:rRNA from 1 species